UACGAAGGGGGCUAGCGUUGCUCGGAAUCACUGGGCGUAAAGGGUGCGUAGGCGGGUUUUUAAGUCAGGGGUGAAAUCCUGGAGCUCAACUCCAGAACUGCCUUUGAUACUGGCGAUCUUGAGUCCGGGAGAGGUGAGUGGAACUGCGAGUGUAGAGGUGAAAUUCGUAGAUAUUCGCAAGAACACCAGUGGCGAAGGCGGCUCACUGGCCCGGUACUGACGCUGAGGUGCGGAAGCGUGGGGAGCAAACAGG
rnacentral:rRNA from 1 species